rnacentral:rRNA from 1 species
UACGGGAGUGGCAAGCGCUAUCCGGAAUUAUUGAGGGUAAAGCGCCCGCAAGCCCUCUUGCAAGUCUGUUGUUAAAGCACGCAGCUUAACUCCAUUUCAGCAAUGGAAACUGAAAUACUACAGGGGGGUAGGGGCAUAGGUAAUUCCCGGUGUAGCGGAGAAGUGCGUACAUAUCGGGAAGAACACCAGUGAUGAAAGCGCUCUGCUGCCUCCUAACUGACGCUCAUGGACGAAAGCCAGGGGAGCGAAAGGGAAUACAUACCCCUGUAGUCCUGGCCGUAAACGAUGAACACUAGGCGUCGGGGGAAUCGACCCCCUCGGUGUCGUAGCCAACGCGGUAAGUGCUCCGCCUGGGGAGUACGCACGCAAGUGAAAACUCAAAGGCAAUAGACGGGGGCCCGCACAAGCGGUGGAGUAUGUGGUUUAAUUCGAUGCAACGCGAAGAACCUUACCAGGGUUUGACAUCCUGCGAAUCUCUUGGAAACGAGAGAGAGCCUUCGGGAACGCAGUGACAGGUGGUGCAUGGCUGUCGUCAGCUCGUGUCGUGAGAUGUUGGCUUAAGUGACGCAACGAGCGCAACCCACGUCGUUACUUGCCAGCAAUUAGUUGGGCACUCUAGCGAGACCGCCGGUGAUAAACCGGAGGAAGGUGGGAUGACGUCAAGUCAUCAUGCCCCUUACAUCCUGGGCUACACACGUACUACAAUGCUACGGACAAAGGGCAGCAAACUCGCGAGAGCUAGCAAAUCCCAUAAACCGUGGCUCAGUUCAGAUCGUAGGCUGCAACUCGCCUACGUGAAGGAGGAAUCGCUAGUAAUCGCAGGUCAGCAUUCUGCGGUGAAUACGUCUCCCGGGCCU